GCCUACGACCAUAUCACCCUGAAUGCGGCCGAUCUCGUCUGAUCUUGGAAGCUAAGCAUGGUCGAGCCUGGUUAGUACUUGGAUGGGAGACUGCCUGGGCAUACCAGGUGUUGUAGGAU
ensembl:rRNA 5S_rRNA 5S ribosomal RNA